rnacentral:rRNA from 1 species
AGUGAACGCUGGCGGUAGGCCUAACACAUGCAAGUCGAACGGCAGCACAGUAAGAGCUUGCUCUUACGGGUGGCGAGUGGCGGACGGGUGAGGAAUACAUCGGAAUCUACUUUUUCGUGGGGGUUAACGUAGGGAAACUUACGCUAAUACCGCAUACGACCUACGGGUGAAAGCAGGGGAUCUUCGGACCUUGCGCGAUUGAAUGAGCCGAUGUCGGAUUAGCUAGUUGGCGGGGUAAAGGCCCACCAAGGCGACGAUCCGUAGCUGGUCUGAGAGGAUGAUCGGCCACACUGGAACUGAGACACGGUCCAGACUCCUACGGGAGGCAGCAGUGGGGAAUAUUGGACAAUGGGCGCAAGCCUGAUCCAGCCAUACCGCGUGGGUGAAGAAGGCCUUCGGGUUGUAAAGCCCUUUUGUUGGGAAAGAAAAGCAGCAGGUUAAUACCCCGCUGUUCUGACGGUACCCAAAGAAUAAGCACCGGCUAACUUCGUG